rnacentral:rRNA from 1 species
ACGGGAGGCAGCAGUGGGGAAUAUUGCACAAUGGGCGAAAGCCUGAUGCAGCGACGCCGCGUGAGUGAUGAAGUAUUUCGGUAUGUAAAGCUCUAUCAGCAGGGAAGAAAAUGACGGUACCUGACUAAGAAGCCCCGGCUAACUACGUGCCAGCAGCCGCGGUAAUACGUAGGGGGCAAGCGUUAUCCGGAUUUACUGGGUGUAAAGGGAGCGUAGGUGGCAUGGCAAGCCAGAAGUGAAAAUCCGGGGCUCAACCCCGGAACUGCUUUUGGAACUGCUAAGCUAGAGUGCAGGAGAGGUAAGUGGAAUUCCUAGUGUAGCGGUGAAAUGCGUAGAUAUUAGGAGGAACACCAGUGGCGAAGGCGGCUUACUGGACUGUAACUGACACUGAGGCUCGAAAGCGUGGGGAGCAAACAGGAUUAGAUACCCUGGUA